AACUACCUGGUCCGCGAAUGCCUUAGAUUAAGUUUGAUCAUGGCUCAGGCCGAGCGCUAGCGGCGUGCCUAAUACAUGCAAGUCGAGCGGAUUCAUCCUUCGGGAUGGGUUAGCGGCGGACGGGUGAGUAACACGUAGGCAACCUGCCUGCAAGGCUGGGAUAACUAACGGAAACGUUAGCUAAUACCGGAUACGCGGUUGGAUCGCAUGAUCCGAUCGGGAAAGAGGGUUUCGGCUCUCGCUUGUAGAUGGGCCUGCGGCGCAUUAGCUAGUUGGUGGGGUAACGGCUCACCAAGGCGACGAUGCGUAGCCGACCUGAGAGGGUGAUCGGCCACACUGGGACUGAGACACGGCCCAGACUCCUACGGGAGGCAGCAGUAGGGAAUCUUCCGCAAUGGACGCAAGUCUGACGGAGCAACGCCGCGUGAGUGAUGAAGGUUCUCGGAUCGUAAAGCUCUGUUGCCAGGGAAGAACGGCCAGGGGAGUAACUGCCCUUGGCAUGACGGUACCUGAGAAGAAAGCCCCGGCUAACUACGUGCCAGCAGCCGCGGUAAUACGUACGGGGGCAAGCGUUGUCCGGGAAUUACUUGGGCGUAAAGCGCGCGCAGGCGGUUGCAUUANGGUUUGGUGUUUUAAGGCCCNGGGGGCUCAAGCCCCCGGAUUCGCACUUGGACAAAACUGGUCGACUUUGCAGUGUACGGGAGCAGGAACAGUGGCGAAAUUCCACCGUUGUAGCCGGUGCAAACUGCCGUUAGAAGAAUGUGGNAGGUGAAACAACCAAGGUNGGCCGAAAANGGCGAACUUUUCCUGGCGCCUUAUUU
rnacentral:rRNA from 1 species